GGUAAAAGGGAGAGUUGCAUAGACUGAGCUGCUUCAAUCAUUGCUGAUGACAGACCAAAGUGCCCUGGGGCCAUCUGACUUGUA